UAACACAUAAUCCAGAUGGCUCCUUACGUGUUAAAAAUUGUCACCCCAAUUUCACUCCAAUUUGGAAAAAUAUUGGAGUGACGUUUGAAUAAUCUGAAAUUUUUAGAUUCCUUUUCUAACUUUUUUGGGAGGUUUUGCUUCUCUUGCACAGAUGUCGCUUGCACUUCAGUUGCGUGGUUGCCAAACGUUAUAUCGAAAUAUAUUUCAUUUCAUUAUGAAUAUAUAAAAUUAAAAAUUAUGUAAUUUAUAAACAUGAAAUAGAUAUGGAUGUUAGGUAAUACCGGAUGUUAAAUUAAUAUAUAAAUAUUUAACUUAAUACGUAAAUUAUUAUUUUAUUAAUUUAUCGUCACACGUCAUUUACCAGUUGCCUAAUUACGAAAAGUUUCAUAUGAUAUUAACCUCAAAAAUGAUCUUUGAAAACAAACAACAACAAAUAACUCAAAGAAAUAACUACAUACUACAUAAUAAUAACUGAUAAUAAUGACUUUUAAUGGUAUAAAGGCUGAUGAAGUUUUAGACAACCAAUACAAGAUUCAGAACUCGGCAUCGCGAUAAACAAGUAAAAUUGUACAUUCAGGAACUCGUUUAAAUAUUAUAGGUUGAUUGAAGAAUAAUCUACAAUUGAUUAGAGCCUAUGACGAUGCGAAGAUAAUUAAUCACCUAACUUUAAGAAACCAGCCUAAAGAAGUUUACAUGCAUCUCAUCUAACCAUUAUAGGUACAUUUUAUCUUCUAGAUCAGUAGUGAUUUUUCAUAAUUUGAAUGAACUCACAGAUAGCAAUGGGGCACCGCACCGAAGCAGUAUUACAAAAUGUGAAAUAAAACUGUAGUACAUAUUGCUCUAUAAAAUUUAAUAGAAAUAAAUUUAUUUAUGAAA